GAUGAACGCUGGCGGCGUGCUUAACACAUGCAAGUCGAACGAGAAAUGUAGACGGAAACCUUCGGGCGGAAGCCUUCAUUUCGAGUGGCGGACGGGUGAGUAAUGCGUGGGUAACCUGCCUCAUACAGGGGGAUAACAGUUGGAAACGACUGUUAAUACCGCAUAAGACCACAGCAUCGCAUGAUGCGGGGGUAAAAACUCCGGUGGUAUGAGAUGGACCCGCGUUCGAUUAGCCAGUUGGCGGGGUAACGGCCCACCAAAGCGACGAUCGAUAGCCGAUCUGAGAGGAUGACCGGCCACAUUGGGACUGAGACACGGCCCAAACUCCUACGGGAGGCAGCAGUGGGGAAUAUUGCACAAUGGGGGAAACCCUGAUGCAGCGACGCCGCGUGAGUGAAGAAGUACUUCGGUAUGUAAAGCUCUAUCAGCAGGGAAGAAAAUGACGGUACCUGAGGAAGAAGCCCCGGCUAACUACGUG
rnacentral:rRNA from 1 species